AAACCCUCUCUCUCUAUCUACAAGUGUAUGCAUCCGCUACUCUCUUUCUACCCCCUCUCUCCCAACAUCUCUCUGCUUGCAAAAGGAAGCCAUUGAUGACCUUUGAUCUCAAUCUUCUCAAAAACUCUCCAUGUUUUUUUAUAGAUUUCAUCAAAGAUAGGGUACCUUCAAUCCCUUGCAUAAUCCCCUGCAAAAACCCAUGAACUUUGCCCCUAACUCAAUCCAACUACACCCGGGCUCUUUCCUUAACUCCAUUUGCUUCAUAUGGGCUCUCACUCUCCCCACUUCUUCCCAUCUUCCUGAUCUUGUCUGGUCACUUCUAAAAGUUUUUCACACCCCUCAAUACAAGACUGGGUAUUGCCAACAGUGAUCAGACAAGGUUCAAUGGCUGUCUCACCUGGGGUUGAAGCCAGGGAGGUACACCGGCAAGGAAGAGAGCAUGCAGAGAGAAGACAUAAAGAUGCUGGUUAAGAAAUGGUGGGAUGUCUACAAAACAAACGAAUAAUAAAGCAAGAAAUUGGACUCCAUGGAAACGAAAAAGCAGAGAGAGAGAGAGAGUAAUGAGUAGCGUGUCUCUGUGAAAUUUGAAAGAUGGGUUCUUCGGCUGAGACUGGGAUGGGAUCCCCCAUUCGGAAACAGAAAGACUUUUUUGGCGAUCAGAAGAAGCGCGUCAGAAAGCCCCUCAUACCAAUCGGUGCACUUUUAACUGCAGGGAUUCUUACUGUGGGCUUAAUCAGAUUCAGGCAACGAAAUUCUCAGUUGGUUCAGAAACUUAUGGGAGCUCGUGUGGUUGUCCAAGUAGCCACCGUUGCACUGAUGUCGGUACUGCUUAUUACUGUGGGGAAAAUUUACAGUGGGAUUUUAACUUCUCCUGGGAUAUGAUAAUGCUGUAAUGAAUCUAAAAUUAUUCUUGUUAGUUUUUUCUCUUCAUUGAAUCAGGAAAUGAUACCUACGUUA